AUAUACAUGAUUAUUUACAAACAAUAAUUGUCUAAAUAAAAACUUUAUUGCUGAAAAAGUUUAAGACAAAAUUAUAAUACAAAAGAGACGAGAAAAACUCCUAAAGGGCUCCACGUAUACACACUUUUUGACUCCUUUUCUUUUGGAACAAAAAUGUAUUAACAAAUCAAAUGAACAAAAAUUUUCUCUUUAGCAAACAAUUAUGAAGUCUCUUAGGUGCUUUAGCCUAGCGUCUCCAGAUAGAUUUUUCAAAUUGUAGGGUUUGCCCAAGAAUCAAGUGAUAAUUGUAAUUUUCAAGAUUUAUUCGAUAAAAAUCGUUAUCAGAUAUAGGAAAAUAUUUCCACCUUCUUGAAACAUCUUUUAUAAAUGCAGGGGAGGGGGAAAAAUAAAAGAAAAAAAUACCCCGAGUUAGUAAGCAAGAUUAUAAAAUCGGUAUGCGUGUCCUAUGGGGGAGCCCUUUUAUGCCAAGGGUAGCCCUAGCAUGAAAAUGCAAUCCUCUGGGGUAGGCACUAUACAAUAACUGAUGAAUCCGAUCAACUGAUGGAGUGAAAAAUAAUUUGAAAAUUUUGACCAAUUGGAGUGAGAAGAGACAUUUGCCCUAAAAUGAGGACGAAAUCCAAAUGGAUUGCUUGCUUUGAUCAACGCAUGAUGUGCAAAAGAGCCUACUCUUGAAAGGAUUACAA
rnacentral:lncRNA from 1 species